UACGUAGGUGGCAAGCGUUGUCCGGAUUUAUUGGGUUUAAAGGGUGCGUAGGCGGUCGGGUAAGUCUGAUGUGAAAUCUCCAAGCUUAACUUGGAAAUGGCAUCGGAUACUAUUCGGCUCGAGGAAUGGAGGGGAGACUGGAAUACUUGGUGUAGCAGUGAAAUGCGUAGAUAUCAAGUGGAACACCAGUGGCGAAGGCGAGUCUCUGGACAUUUCCUGACGCUGAGGCACGAAAGCCAGGGGAGCAAACGGG
rnacentral:rRNA from 1 species